AUUGAACGCUGGCGGCAGGCCUAACACAUGCAAGUCGAACGAGUGGCGGACGGGUGAGUAAUGUCUCGGAAACUGCCUAAUGGAGGGGGAUAACUACUGGAAACGGUAGCUAAUACCGCAUACCAUCGGAUGUGCCCAGAUGGGAUUAGCUAGUAGGUGGGGUAACGGCUCACCUAGGCGACGAUCCCUAGCUGGUCUGAGAGGAUGACCAGCCACACUGGAACUGAGACACGGUCCAGACUCCUACGGGAGGCAGCAGUGGGGAAUAUUGCAAGAUGGGCGCAACCCUGAUGCAGCCAUGCCGCGUGUAUGAAGAAGGCCUUCGGGUUGUAAAGUACUUUCAGCGGAGAGGCGUUACCUGCAGAAGAAGCACCGGCUAACUCCGUGCCAGCCACCGCGGUAAUUC
rnacentral:rRNA from 1 species